rnacentral:rRNA from 1 species
AUUGAACGCUGGCGGCAGGCCUAACACAUGCAAGUCGAACGAGUGGCGGACGGGUGAGUAAUGUCUGGGAAACUGCCUGAUGGAGGGGGAUAACUACUGGAAACGGUAGAUAAUACCGCAUACCAUCGGAUGUGCCCAGAUGGGAUUCGCUAGUAGGUGGGGUAAAGGCUCACCUAGGCGACGCUCCCUAGCUGGUCUGAGAGGAUGACCAGCCACACUGGAACUGAGGCACGGUCCAGACUCCUACGGGGGGCAGCAGUGGGGAAUAUUGCACAAUGGGCGCAAGCCUGAUGCAGCCAUGCCGGGGGUAUGAAGGAUGCCUUCGGGUUGUAAAGUACUUUCAGCGGGGAGGCGUUACCCGCAGAAGAAGCACCGGCUAACUCCGUGCCAGCCGCCGCGGUAAUUC